UACGGGGGGAGCAAGCGUUGUUCGGAUUUACUGGGCGUAAAGGGCGCGUAGGCGGCCACCGCAAGUCGAUUGUGAAAUCUCUGGGCUUAACCCAGAAAGGUCAACUGAUACUGCGGGGCUAGAGUGCAGAAGGGGCAACUGGAAUUCUCGGUGUAGCGGUGAAAUGCGUAGAUAUCGAGAAGAACACCUGCGGCGAAGGCGGGUUGCUGGGCUGACACGUGACGCUGAAGCGCGAAAGCUAGGGGAGCGAACGGG
rnacentral:rRNA from 1 species